UACGGAGGAUUCAAGCGUUAUCCGGAUUUAUUGGGUUGAAAGGGUGCGUAGGCGGCGCUUCAGGUCAGCGGUGAAAUACCGGGGCUCAACCCCGGGGCUGCCGUUGAAACCGGAGCGCUAGAAUUCCGAUGCCGUCGGAGGAAUGUGUGGUGUAGCGGUGAAAUGCUUAGAGAUCAUACAGAACACCGAUUGCGAAGGCAGCGUACCAAGCUACUUCUGACGUUGAGGCACGAAAGCGUGGGGAGCAAACAGG
rnacentral:rRNA from 1 species